rnacentral:tRNA from 1 species
AAUGAAGUGCCUGACUAAAGGAUUAUUUUGAUAGAAUAAAUAAAGUAUAAUUUGUACCUUCAUUA